rnacentral:lncRNA from 7 species
GGGUAUUAUCUGGCUCAGCUUGGCACAGUUCAAGUGCACAACUGCAACCUUUUCCAUGACCCAAAAGUCAAUGCCACUCCGUGGGCUGGCAGUUUGCAAAUAAAACAGCAUGCUGCAUAGAUUUGAGAGAAGAAGAAAAAGGAAGAUUAGAAACAAAGAAGUUUGUCUGCGAGGCUUUUACUGAAUCUUAGCCAAAGGUACGAGUCUUUUAACGAAGAAAUACAGCUUCUACAGACUUGCUUUCUCUUCUUCAGUAUAAAUUUUGAUGUAUAAAUAACGUUCCUACGGAGACCUGGUCAUCUGCUGGUAUUGAUCACCUGCCUCCCUGUCCUCCAAGGUCUGAUUCAGUCAUAGCCUGAAACAAAUGUCAGCACCUUUACUGGAAAAUGUAGUAAACAGUGGAUUAGACAAACGAGAGGGCUGGAAAUGGGUCUGCUUCAAGUCUUACCGCAUACCUUGUGGAGUGAUGUCUGGAGAUGGUGGAGUUCCUAUUCUGAGGAUCAAACCUGCAUUUCCUCUGUGUGGUUGAAAGCAGUACAUUAGUGGGAAUAAGCACCAGCAGCACGCAGCUGAAUCUGCUGAUGAUACCGGUGUUUGGACUAGACCAGAACAUGGCAGUACUGGCUGGCUCUUUUGGAACCUAAGCCUGUGGGUAUGUGCUCAGGGGUUGCACUAGAAGUACAUGGAGACAAAGAUGUCUGUGCACACCGUAGGUUAGCACACGUUAAUCCUUCAAAGCAGAUGGGCUUUAAGCAAUAAGGUAGCAUGGACUACUGGCUGUAGAAAAUAUAUGUAAUUAUAUGUAUUUAUAUUGUAUGUGUACGUUAGAAAAUACAGUCUUACGAUUUGGAAAGAUAGACAUUUGUUGUCUUCUCUAUCUGCAAGAUAUCUGUACAUGUAAGAAUAGUGUUAGUAACUGUGAUGAUUUUCUGAAAAUGUGUCCUCCUCAAGCAUUUUUGAUGACAACAGAAGAAGUAAUAUUCACUCUUGUUCCAAAAAUGUUAAUUAAGCAAUUGCUACUAACAUCGAUGGGAGUACAGAAGCCCCAAAUAUUUGCAUACAUGAAGGAUUGGAGGUUUCUUUUUGAUUUUGGCUAUUUUCUAGGAAGUCUUGAAGAACCAACUUUGUUAUGAGUAUAAAGUUAUUAAUUGUAACUUGUAAGUCUUUCAGACAAUGCAUAUGCUCAUGCUUCACAUUUUAUAGUCUUGUUUUAUAUGACUUUGUAUGCUCCUAAAUGUCAUUUAGAUUAUAAAAAUUACUGAUAGGUGGCAAAAGUCUUAGUAAAAGACAGUAAAACACACACACAGAACCAAAAGACGUACCGUAUGGUAGAUGAAGCAAAUCCAAAUUUUAGAACAA